AUGCACAGCCGCAACAAGCAUCCACCUGAUCUGCGAUUCCACUCCCUCCAUCCACUCGCAAGGCCUCUGCGAGUCUCCUCUUCCCCAUCGUUAUCACCGCCAUCAAUCAUCCACGCCGGAACUCCAGUCCACUCCAGCACCACGCAGCAUCACGGAUGGCAACCAACACCAUUCAAUUUCGGUAUCCGCGCCUCUCUUUGCUUUUAUAAUAAUUUAUUCUGUUAA